AUUGAACGCUGGCGGCAUGCUUUACACAUGCAAGUCGAACGGCAGCGGGGGCUUCGGUCCGCCGGCGAGUGGCGAACGGGUGAGUAAUGCAUCGGAACGUGCCCAGUCGUGGGGGAUAACACAUCGAAAGAUGUGCUAAUACCGCAUACGCCCUGAGGGGGAAAGUGGGGGAUCUUCGGACCUCACGUGAUUGGAGCGGCCGAUGUCAGAUUAGCUAGUUGGUGAGGUAAAGGCUCACCAAGGCGACGAUCUGUAGCGGGUCUGAGAGGAUGAUCCGCCACACUGGGACUGAGACACGGCCCAGACUCCUACGGGAGGCAGCAGUGGGGAAUUUUGGACAAUGGGGGCAACCCUGAUCCAGCCAUGCCGCGUGAGUGAAGAAGG
rnacentral:rRNA from 1 species